rnacentral:misc_RNA from 1 species
UACUAAGGAAAGAAAUCAUCUUCAGUUUUGAAAAACUUAGGUUGAAAAAAAAUUAAGUUUUUCCUUUUUAGGUUCUCCAUCAUUUUUAAAAUGAGCCUAUAGCUCAGUUGGUUAGAGCACACGCCUGAUAAGCGUGAGGUCGGUGGUUCAAGUCCAUUUAGGCUCACCAAUAUUUAAAUUUGAAAAAUAACUUAAAAAAAGUUCUUUGAAAAGUAGAUAAACAUGCCAUAUAAACUCUAUUUAAAUUG